AUUGAACGCUGGCGGCAGGCCUAACACAUGCAAGUCGAGCGGAUGAAGGGAGCUUGCUCCUGGAUUCAGCGGCGGACGGGUGAGUAAUGCCUAGGAAUCUGCCUGGUAGUGGGGGCUAACGUCCGGAAACGGGCGCUAAUACCGCAUACGUCCUGAGGGGGAAAGUGGGGGAUCUUCGGACCUCACGCUAUCGGAUGAGCCUAGGUCGGAUUAGCUAGUUGGUGGGGUAAAGGCCUACCAAGGCGACGAUCCGUAACUGGUCUGAGAGGAUGAUCAGUCACACUGGAACUGAGACACGGUCCAGACUCCUACGGGAGGCAGCAGUGGGGAAUAUUGGACGAUGGGCGAAAGCCUGAUCCAGCCAUGCCGCGUGUGUGAAGAAGGUCUUCGGAUUGUAAAGCACUUUAAGUUGGGAGGAAGGGCAGUAAGUUAAUACCUUGCUGUUUUGACGUUACCAACAGAAUAAGCACCGGCUAACUUCGUG
rnacentral:rRNA from 1 species